CUCGGUGACAAAACUAAAAGGAUCCUCAUAUGAAGAUUAAUUGUUUUUUGAUGUUUAAGCUUGGCUUCUGACGCUGUCCUGGUUUUGAGGAAGAUAUAUAAACAGUCUUCGGAGGUCGCAUUUCAUUUCAUUUUAAGAUUACAUACAGCUGGUUUAAAAGAAGUUAUAAUCUCGCCGCCGAAAAUUAGGACGUUAUGAAAUUUAUCAUUCUUGGGCUUGUUAUAACGCUUGUUGUGUUAGACCUAACAAGUAUUUCAUCGGGAAGUUUGAUGUGUCUCGGCCAAGAUAUGUGUUCGGGGAAAAAGAAGAAGACAUUAGACAAAAGCUACACAGCAUCGUGGAAAUUUCAAAACAGGCAUCGCAGGUUUUGGGGGGACACUCGUGUAGAAAAACCCAUUAUGAACAGGACUUGGUACAAACGCUAUAAAACGAGAAUUAGGGGGUUCUUUAAAACGAGGCCUGGACUAGACAAGUAAAGAUGGGAAAGCAUAAAAGAAUAUAAUAUAGGAAUGUAUCAUUCGAAUUGAGAACACUUGCAAAGCAAGAUGCCGCACUCUUAAUGGAAUAAAUAAUAUAGACAGCUAUUGCAU